AUUGAACGCUGGCGGCAGGCCUAACACAUGCAAGUCGAACGGUAGCACAGAGAGCUUGCUCUCGGGUGACGAGUGGCGGACGGGUGAGUAAUGUCUGGGAAACUGCCUGAUGGAGGGGGAUAACUACUGGAAACGGUAGGCUAAUACCGCAUAAUGUCGCAAGACCAAGAGGGGACCGUUAGGCGUCUUGCCAUCAGAUGUGCCCAGAUGGGAUUAG
rnacentral:rRNA from 1 species